rnacentral:rRNA from 1 species
UACGGAGGAUGCGAGCGUUGUCCGGAAUUAUUGGGCGUAAAGAGUACGUAGGCGGUCUGUUAAGCGCAAGGUGAAAGGCAUAGGCUCAACCAAUGUGAGCCUUGCGAACUGGCAGACUUGAGUGCAGGAGAGGAAAGUGGAAUUCCUAGUGUAGCGGUGAAAUGCGUAGAGAUUAGGAAGAACACCAGUGGCGAAGGCGACUUACUGGACUGUAACUGACGCUGAGGCAUGAGAGCAUGGGGAGCAAACAGG